rnacentral:rRNA from 1 species
AUGGAAUCAAUUUGCGCAAAUGUUGUGACUGCUAGUUUGAUCCUAGCAUGGGAUCGAGCUACCGUGGAAACGGAAUAUCAACAGUUUAAGCCCAACCCAUGUUUUCUGAACCUUUUCUAUGCAAGUGUUGGUCCUACAUCCCCGCCUAUUUUCCAACCUCAAAGUAAUCUGGGCAAUUUGAGGAAAUGCCACAGCUUUCCUCGCACUUUGCUCUUAUACCACAUCUUUCUUUUUAUUGGAGUAAAUAGCACAUCUUUGAUUGAUAGUUGGACAAAAUACCACAAAUUGAUUUUUCCCCUUCUUUUCCACGCCCAGACCCACACCAAAUUUGUGCAGGACGGAUUUACCCUCAGGCCGUUUCCACGAUCAACAGAUCAAAAAAAGGAGAAACGAUGA